rnacentral:rRNA from 1 species
GAUAGGCCAGAUGUGGAAGCCCGGUAACGGGUGGAGCUGACUGGUACUAAUAGGCCGAGGGCUUGUCCU